UGCAUUGGCAGCUAUUCUACUAAUUCUGCAUACUGGUUAGUAAUGUAAUAAAUAAAUAAAUAUUACAAAAAUAAAUAAUUCAAAGGGUCAUGUGACUUCUUCGAUGAUAUAUGCACGUGACGUCACCAUAGUCACGGUCUCUUCACCCUUCAGCGUUUGUUUGAGUCAAGUGGAAACAACUUCAGAAUCUGAACUAAAAUGUUUUGUACUAAACUGAUUCGAUAAUAAUAACUUUGUUUUAGGCUGCAAUGAAUAAAGAAAGAAGCAGCUAACGGAUCUCUUUCUUUGGCGGGACAACUGGAAUCCAGGUAAAUUACCAAAACUUCCCAGAUAGUCCUGGCUGCUGGCCCUGCCGCUGCUGCUUACUAACAGAGUGUGGACAGCAGGGGAGGCUAGAGUACUCCUCCAGGGGGCUGGGACGCUUCCAGCUGGGUCGCUGAGGUGUGGAGCUCGCCUCGGGGUAAGCCUCUUGUACUUUCUUCAAGGGAAAAUUCCCCAUUUCUCCGUUUCCCAUCGGCUGGCUUGGACUUAAAUGACACACUUUAUUAGUUAAGAAGAAGACAAGCUCCAAAGGUCAACGGCUCAGUAAAACCCAGCUUUAACUUCGUAUUCCUAUCGUUUACUUUGCUUGUCAAAGGGAGGAAAUGAUGGAGUGAUGAUAUAAAUAUGGGGCUUGUUUGGAGAAGCAAAAGCCUUUCUCCUGCAAACAUAAACCACCAUGUUUUUCGGGAUGAUGGAAGACACACUUCUCAGCUGAUUAAACAUGCAAAAAGUCAUCGUUUUUUCCUUUUGCUUCUAUAAACAGAGAGCCGCCUGCCUUUCCAGAAUACAUAAGCACUGACGGAGAUUUAUACAAAGCAGCAAAAAUGUGUGUAACAACGGGGAAAUCCCCUUGAUUGGAUCAUUAAUACUGCUGACAAAAGGGUGUUGAAUUCAUUAUAUGACCAUAACAUGUGUAACAAGUGUUUGAAAGCUGCUCGAUAUAUGCAUUUGAUGCAUGAACCGAUUUCUGGAAAAAUCCAUUUUCGUACAUGACUGUGGGCGUUGUAAGGAGGAACAUCAGCUCAGCGUAGCGAUGAUGAUGUCCACUACCUUCAACCACAACAGACAGUGUAACACAUGGCGUGCAGCUGUGCAAAAGUGACAAUUUUUAACAUCAGUGUGCCUGCGCUGGGUCACGCUGUACUGAUGUUCCCCCUCAGGUGAAAAGCCAUGAGUCUUACUCAUGCUGCAGUUCAAAGCAGAACAGGUGGGGCCGUCACUGUGAUUCAACGUGGAGUCGUCCAGUGUCUCAUGUCCUGACAGAAUUUUACAUUCAAACAUGUGGAAAAGAGAUCCUCUGUUACUACGUAAAGAUUGAUAUACUUUAACAUGGUAGGAUAGAUAUAUGUCAAGCCCACUGAGCUAGUUAAUGUAAUAAACAGACGUACCCAUUACCUCUAGCCAUACGAUGCAGCAUCUGCCCCCAAUGACCUCCUUAAUUAAAUUAACUUCUCCUAAACUCAAGCUCUAAAGACAAAAUGUAUGAUAAAAAUUCAAACUGUUGGUGCUCCCUCUCUCAUUACAAAACAGUGAUGUAACUGUACAGUAUUGUAAAUACUGAAACUAGUUUUAUACACAGUCUAUGGUAAAUACUGGUUAGACAGCAGAUUGUCCUUCAAAAACUAUUGUUGAGCAACUUGCUCUUUCUCCUUUUUAAAACAUUAUACAAUCCACUGUACAGUAUUACUGGUGAAAUUAUCAUUGGAUACCAUUUACCACAGCAGCGUAUCUACAGUUUGUUUUCAUGUAUGAGGGGUUGCUGUCCAACGUUUACAUGUUUAAGAAUGUUUUUUUUUUAAUCUUUAUUAUUGAAUACAAAGCUAAUGACAGCAAAUUAUAACAUUAACGUUUUUAUGCAUCUACUGUCUGCAGAACACUGCACCCUCCCCUAUUUAGCAUUUAUAACCAGUUUAUAAACAUGCAGUACAUGGUUUAUAACACAAUGUCAUUGUAAGCAGAUAUGGACACAUUUUCAAGUGUGUAUCAAUGUACAGUGUUUGUCAACAAUUAUAACUUUUCCCAUGAGGACAUAUUUUUAAUAUAUUGUGAUUUAUUGUCUGUUUAUACAUCAGCCUCUACGUACUGUUGACUUAUAUUUGUAGACAAAUACAUUUAUAGAGUUUUAAACAUUCAAUGUUUUUAUACUGUUUAUCAAUUCUAGAUAGGGUUAAAGUGUCACAGACAUUUAUUCAUCUGAGGGACUUAAAGUUUUCCUUAAUGAUAUUUUUAAUAAUUUGUGAUAGUUUGAAUUUCUCUUUUAUGUGUAAUGGCCGUUUUAUGAGACUGUCUCAUGUCACGUGUGUUUUGUAAUUUGUUCUCAGUUCUCUCUUGGAAAAGAGUUCUUGAUUUUAAUAAGACCACCUAAAAAAAACAAAAAAAAAUAAAACUA